AGGGAGAGUGGAUGCAGCUGUAUCAACAGCGGUCCCCACUCGUGGGAUACGUACACAGAGCCAGCUUUACUGCUGGAGGCAGCUUUUCCAGGGUGUUUGCACUGCAGUGGUGACUUCUCUUGGGUGAGCUGUGUCUGCCGGGGACCUUGAUUCUGCUCUGCCUGAAUAACCCAGCUACGAGCACAGUGUUCUUUUUCUGUUAAGCAGCAGGUAUCAUUUUUGUCCUGACAAGGGGAGGCUCCACCUGCCGACUGCCCACCAACGCAUCCAGCUGUCUGCUUUGCAGAACAGGCAAGCUUGUUUUCAGAAUUUGAAAAACGGAGAUACAAAGGGAGCUGUGGCAGCUGAAUUCUCUUUCAUGUGUGUCCAGUCCAGGUGAAGCCCAGCAUAAUGUACUGUAAUAUGUGUCUUCAAUUCUCUGAUACAAUGACCUGUGCAUCCUCUAAAUCCCCCACAGAAUGCGCAGACACAGACUGAUUGAGUCCACAGGAGCAGGAGGAGUCCCAGGGAGUCUUGGGCAGUUUUUCACCACCUUUAUCCUUGUGGAGAAUCUCAGCACACGUGCAAAGAUGAUGUGUGAAUUCAGGAUGCACUCCAUGGCAUCUGUGAACAUGUGUGUCAAGGCUUCACUUUUCCAUGUAACCCUAAAGAGUGGACACAAAAGACAUUUAUUUGCUUGAAAGGUUUUAGGAAUUUUCUUUCUGUUUUUUCCUUGAGAAGAUGGUGGAUAGAUUUUCCAUGGGAUGGUUCUUAGAGAACAUGCCACCAAUUGCAGGAGUUGCAUCUUGUGAGAUACAGACACAAUGAAUUUCCUCAAGGGACAGAGUACAAAACUGAUGGGUUUGCUGUGGGUGCAUCAGUCCAGAGAGAUCUGUAGGGGAGAAUGAAGGCAGGGACUUGUGCACAUCUCCAAGUGGCCUCGGGGUCCACAGAGCCAGAACAGCACAUUCAUGGAGACAAAAUGCCAUGUUGUCUGAAGCUUUGCACCAGAUGCACUCUGCAAAAAUAUCUUCUUACAGCUACAAGGGCUUCACACCCACUAUGUCUGACUGUGUUGGGAGCUCGAGCACAGGUUGCCCACCUUGGCAGCAUCGAUGCCAUUGAACUGGUAUUAGCAGCAGUGAGGGGUGGCUGUAAAUUUUGCCUCAUGUGGACAAGGCUUACAAGGCACUGCACUGGUGUAAAUCCUCAUGGAAGACAUUGCAGCUAUGACAACUUACACCAGCACCUGAGCUUCCCUGGAACUAACACAACAGAGCAGCAAUGUUAGUGACCAGUAGAGAAUUAUUAAAGGAACACAGAUAAUUGGAAGAAAAUAAAUGACCUGGGUAGAAGAGCUACUAUAAAAUGAAGUGCAGACAUGAGAGAAGGAGAUACUCAGAACCUCCUGGUAAUACGCUACUUUCCAGUUCCACAGAUUUGUUUUUCUUCACUUCUAGUGUUCAGCAAGAAGUUGUGAUGGUCUGAGAAAUUAUAUCUUGGGGGCAGAAGCUGUGCCUUAUAUAGCCACAGUGACAGCAUAGAAAGCAAAGAAGGAAUUAGGAUGCUAUUUUUUAGACCAGCCAGAUGAUUUGUCAGCAAUUCACCAGGAAGAAGGAAGAAAUUGCAAGAAUUGGAAGGCGCAGCGGUCCAGCUUCAGUAUCCAUUGAGAUCAAACCUAAAGAAAUGGACCCAUCUCUAUUCAAAAUGAAUUUCCUUUAUACAAAAACCACAAAGGAAACUGAAGCUACAUUUCUAAAUACUGAAAAGCAAAGAAUAAAAGCACUUUUUAAAAAAGAGAGAUGAUUAACUACAUUUAUACUCAAAGAUUCUGAGAAAUUGACUCAUCUGAUAUGCUAUGAGAAGGAAUUUAAGGGUAUGGCCCCAAAACCUGUGUUCUGACCAUCAGUCAAAAGCUCUGCUUCUUAUGCUCUCUCCCUCUUGAUCAGUGAGAAAGGAGAGGCAAAAAUGGAUAAUGGAAUUGGCUGGGGACCUAGCUGCAAGUCAC